UUAAGCGACUAAGCGUACACGGUGGAUGCCCUGGCAGUCAGAGGCGAUGAAGGGCGUGCUAAUCUGCGAUAAGCGCCGGUAAGGUGAUAUGAACCGUUAUAACCGGCGAUACCCGAAUGGGGAAACCCAGUGUGACUCGUCACACUAUCAUUAACUGAAUCCAUAGGUUAAUGAGGCGAACCGGGGGAACUGAAACAUCUAAGUACCCCGAGGAAAAGAAAUCAACCGAGAUUCCCCCAGUAGCGGCGAGCGAACGGGGAGGAGCCCAGAGCCUGAAUCAGCAUGUGUGUUAGUGGAAGCGUCUGGAAAGGCGCGCGAUACAGGGUGACAGCCCCGUACACAAAAGCGCAUGUGCUGUGAGCUCGAUGAGUAGGGCGGGACACGUGGUAUCCUGUCUGAAUAUGGGGGGACCAUCCUCCAAGGCUAAAUACUCCUGACUGACCGAUAGUGAACCAGUACCGUGAGGGAAAGGCGAAAAGAACCCCGGCGAGGGGAGUGAAAAAGAACCUGAAACCGUGUACGUACAAGCAGUGGGAGCACCCUUUGGGUGACUGCGUACCUUUUGUAUAAUGGGUCAGCGACUUAUAUUCUGUAGCAAGGUUAACCGAAUAGGGGAGCCGGAGGGAAACCGAGUCUUAACCGGGCGUUAAGUUGCAGGGUAUAGACCCGAAACCCGGUGAUCUAGCCAUGGGCAGGUUGAAGGUUGGGUAACACUAACUGGAGGACCGAACCGACUAAUGUUGAAAAAUUAGCGGAUGACCUGUGGCUGGGGGUGAAAGGCCAAUCAAACCGGGAGAUAGCUGGUUCUCCCCGAAAGCUAUUUAGGUAGCGCCUCGUGAAUUCAUCUCCGGGGGUAGAGCACUGUUUCGGCUAGGGGGCCAUCCCGGCUUACCAACCCGAUGCAAACUGCGAAUACCGGAGAAUGUUAUCACGGGAGACACACGGCGGGUGCUAACGUCCGUCGUGAAGAGGGAAACAACCCAGACCGCCAGCUAAGGUCCCAAAGUCAUGGUUAAGUGGGAAACGAUGUGGGAAGGCCCAGACAGCCAGGAUGUUGGCUUAGAAGCAGCCAUCAUUUAAAGAAAGCGUAAUAGCUCACUGGUCGAGUCGGCCUGCGCGGAAGAUGUAACGGGGCUAAACCAUGCACCGAAGCUGCGGCAGCGACACUGUGUGUUGUUGGGUAGGGGAGCGUUCUGUAAGCCUGUGAAGGUGUGUCGUGAGGCAUGCUGGAGGUAUCAGAAGUGCGAAUGCUGACAUAAGUAACGAUAAAGCGGGUGAAAAGCCCGCUCGCCGGAAGACCAAGGGUUCCUGUCCAACGUUAAUCGGGGCAGGGUGAGUCGACCCCUAAGGCGAGGCCGAAAGGCGUAGUCGAUGGGAAACGGGUUAAUAUUCCCGUACUUGGUGUUACUGCGAAGGGGGGACGGAGAAGGCUAUGUUGGCCGGGCGACGGUUGUCCCGGUUUAAGCGUGUAGGUGUGUGUUCCAGGUAAAUCCGGUUCACUUUAACACUGAGGCGUGACGACGAGGCACUACGGUGCUGAAGCAACAAAUGCCCUGCUUCCAGGAAAAGCCUCUAAGCAUCAGGUAACAUCAAAUCGUACCCCAAACCGACACAGGUGGUCAGGUAGAGAAUACCAAGGCGCUUGAGAGAACUCGGGUGAAGGAACUAGGCAAAAUGGUGCCGUAACUUCGGGAGAAGGCACGCUGACACGUAGGUGAAGUGAUUUACUCAUGGAGCUGAAGUCAGUCGAAGAUACCAGCUGGCUGCAACUGUUUAUUAAAAACACAGCACUGUGCAAACACGAAAGUGGACGUAUACGGUGUGACGCCUGCCCGGUGCCGGAAGGUUAAUUGAUGGGGUCAGCGCAAGCGAAGCUCCUGAUCGAAGCCCCGGUAAACGGCGGCCGUAACUAUAACGGUCCUAAGGUAGCGAAAUUCCUUGUCGGGUAAGUUCCGACCUGCACGAAUGGCGUAAUGAUGGCCAGGCUGUCUCCACCCGAGACUCAGUGAAAUUGAACUCGCUGUGAAGAUGCAGUGUACCCGCGGCAAGACGGAAAGACCCCGUGAACCUUUACUAUAGCUUGACACUGAACAUUGAGCCUUGAUGUGUAGGAUAGGUGGGAGGCUUUGAAGUGUGGACGCCAGUCUGCAUGGAGCCGACCUUGAAAUACCACCCUUUAAUGUUUGAUGUUCUAACGUGGACCCGUUACCCGGGUUGCGGACAGUGUCUGGUGGGUAGUUUGACUGGGGCGGUCUCCUCCUAAAGAGUAACGGAGGAGCACGAAGGUUGGCUAAUCCUGGUCGGACAUCAGGAGGUUAGUGCAAUGGCAUAAGCCAGCUUGACUGCGAGCGUGACGGCGCGAGCAGGUGCGAAAGCAGGUCAUAGUGAUCCGGUGGUUCUGAAUGGAAGGGCCAUCGCUCAACGGAUAAAAGGUACUCCGGGGAUAACAGGCUGAUACCGCCCAAGAGUUCAUAUCGACGGCGGUGUUUGGCACCUCGAUGUCGGCUCAUCACAUCCUGGGGCUGAAGUAGGUCCCAAGGGUAUGGCUGUUCGCCAUUUAAAGUGGUACGCGAGCUGGGUUUAGAACGUCGUGAGACAGUUCGGUCCCUAUCUGCCGUGGGCGCUGGAGAACUGAGGGGGGCUGCUCCUAGUACGAGAGGACCGGAGUGGACGCAUCACUGGUGUUCGGGUUGUCAUGCCAAUGGCACUGCCCGGUAGCUAAAUGCGGAAGAGAUAAGUGCUGAAAGCAUCUAAGCACGAAACUUGCCCCGAGAUGAGUUCUCCCUGAGACUUAGAGUCUCCUGAAGGAACGUUGAAGACGACGACGUUGAUAGGCCGGGUGUGUAAGCGCAGCGAUGCGUUGAGCUAACCGGUACUAAUGAACCGUGAGGCUUAACCUU
rnacentral:rRNA from 1 species